AAAUUACUCCCUCCGUCUAACAAAAGAUGUCUCAACUUUGAUCAAAUUUGAAUGCAUAUAUAAUUAAGUCAUGUCUAGAUACAUUCAAAUUUUGACAAACUUGAGACAUCUUUUGUUGGACGGGGAAGUACUAA
rfam:Brachypodium distachyon strain Bd21 chromosome 4, whole genome shotgun sequence.